GAUGAAGAACGUAGCGAAAUGCGAUAAGUAAUGCGAAUUGCAGAAUUUCCGUGAGGCAUCGAAUCUUUGAACGCACAUUGCGCCCAUUAGUAUUCUAGUGGGCAUGCCUGUUCGAGCGUCAUUUCAACCCUUAAGCUUAGCUUAGUAUUGGGAAUCUGCUUAACCGCAGCUCCUUAAAUCCAGUUGGCAGAGCACAGCUGUACUCUGAGCGUAGUAAUUCAUUAUCUCGCUUUCUGAAGACAGUCGUACGAUAGCCACAAACUUGCAUCUUGCAAACUUUUUAAUGGUUGACCUCGGAUCAGGUAGGAAUACCCGCUGAACUUACGCAUAUCAAUAAGCGGAGGA
rnacentral:misc_RNA from 1 species